UCUUGGUCAUUUAGAGGAAGUAAAAGUCGUAACAAGGUUUCCGUAGGUGAACCUGCGGAAGGAUCAUUAUCAAUAACAGUGGACUUCGGUCCCUGCUACUCCCUUGUCUUUUGCGUACCACUUGUUUCCUCGGCGGGCUUGCCUGCCGAAAGGACAACCAUUGAACCACUUGCAGUUGCAAUCAGCGUCAGAAAUAAACAAUCGUUAAAACUUUCAACAACGGAUCUCUUGGUUCUGGCAUCGAUGAAGAACGCAGCGAAAUGCGAAAAGUAGUGUGAAUUGCAGAAUUCAGUGAAUCAUCGAAUCUUUGAACGCACAUUGCGCCCCUUGGUAUUCCAUGGGGCAUGCCUGUUCGAGCGUCAUUUUGUACCUUCAAGCAUUGCUUGGUGUUGGGUGUUUGUCCGGCAGCGGACUCGCCUGAAAGCUAUUGGCAGCCGCCGCACUGGCAGCAGAGCGCAGCACAAUCUCGCGACUCUGCCCUGCGCGUCGGCGUCCACAAGGCCUUUCAACGUUUGACCUCGGAUCAGGUAGGGAUACCCGCUGAACUUAAGCAUAUCAAUAAGCGGGAGGAA
rnacentral:rRNA from 1 species